rnacentral:lncRNA from 1 species
UUUUUUUUUUUUCUCACUAGCUGUUGUGCUGUACUUGCUUGGGGAAGAAAAAAGAGCAAAAUCCAACCCAAGAAAAAGAUUUAAUUGCAAGAGAAGUGAAACACAAACUUAAAGACUGCAAGCAAAUCAAGCUUGCAAUAGCAAGAAUCAGAGUCAUAGACUAUCAGUGCAAGUAACAGAUGAAUCUCCCAGGAAACCCCUGUUAAGAACUGAGUGGAGCAUUGCUAAGGGCUUAUGCAAGUGUUCCUCUGCAGAAUCAGGUAAGUAAAAGUAAAAAUGACUCAAAU